rnacentral:tRNA from 1 species
ACUUAAGUAGUUUAAGUAAAAUAUUGAUUUGUGGCAUCAAUGAUAUAUGAAUAUAUCUUAGGUU